rnacentral:misc_RNA from 1 species
UUUGGUUAAAAAGAAUAAUUUGGAGUGCUUGUGCAAACACACACAUAUUUAUAGGUCCUCAAAUAUAUUAAUGUUUCAGGCUGUCCUAUGUUCAUAAUAUUAUCUAUGCUUCUAUUAGUUUAUUUAUGGCAACUAUACUUAUUUGAAUGGUCAUACUUGUAAGUUUGCAAGUGAAUAAGGUUCUAUUAGGAUUUCAAUGUUCAUUUAACAUCAAUAUUUGGUCCUUUUUUUCUUGUAGGGGUUUGAUGCAUGUCUGUAUGAUCGAAG